UGGAAAGGGUGAGGAGGGUGAUGUCAUUUGUUAAAUGAUGACAAGUAGAAGUUAGAAAAUUGUUUUACACUUGAUCUGGGUGAUGGUUUGGUGAAUCUACUCUACAUAAAUAGAGAGUGUGAGAGAAUACUGUUCCUAAGAAAGGUCUCCAUCCUGGCCGUUCAUUUUAUCUGCCUCUGCCUCUGAUUGAUCUUGUCGAAGAAGGAGGUGUUUAAGGAGUGAUGAUGAUUUUGUCCGAAAUUGUCGUCAUCGUUGCAGGGUUCCCUCACUGUAGAUAGGGUUAGGUUAGGAUUAGGUGGAGAAGAGAAGAGGAUUGCAGUUCAGAGCAAGGAGAAGGUGAAGAGAAGAUGACCGAAAAUCAUCAUCACCCUAGAUAGGGUUUAGGUUAGAUUCAGAAGGAGAAGAGAAGAUGGUGGAAGUAGAAGGACGAAAUUUCACUGUUUACGAAUGGGGAUGAUCAUAUGGUGACGAAGAAGGACCAGAUUCAGAAGCCAAGAUGAUGAUAGAUCACGUCAGUUCAGUACAAGUGCAGCAGUUGCCAGUUUUGGUGAGCACAAUGCGGCCUGUCUUCCUAUAUCCGGGGGAAGACACUUUCCUUCUUGCUGCUCCAUGUUUUUCUGCUGCUGGUACUUUGUGAGAGGUAAACCAUUGGUUUCAACUGCCACUAGGAAUGUUAAUUUUUUAUUUUUCUCUGAUUUAUAAUUUUUUUAUGAAUGACCUGUGAGUGAUUCUUAGGAGUAUGUAAAGAUAACUGGUAGAUGAAUAAAUCGCUAGGGAUCUUAUUUUUUUGUUUAUGUAUGAGUUUAUGAAAUGCUACAUUCAAGCUUUUUGGUUGUCGCAAUAUGAUAUUCAGUUGGUUUGACAUAGACACUUACGAUUAUCCUCCACAUCUUGAUGCUCACUUGGUAUUAAUCAUUCCUUUAUUUGUGCAAGAGUAACACUGCUAUGCAAUUGAACCAACUUUUGUGUAUAGAUUUUUUACUAGGAAGUCAGUUGUGCACGAGUUUCACUGCUCUGUUGUAUGGGAAGUUUAAAUCAAUUGCAGAAUUAGUUUUCGUUCCAGUCCAAGCUUUUUUAUUUAGGGUGCCAUCUGCUCUCCUUUAAUGACAAGGUAACAACUUUAAUGCUUUCUGAAUUCUGAGUUUCUUUAUAGGUGAAUAAUACUCUAUAUUUCUAGCAAAACAACUAGGGUGUUUACAAUUGAAUUUGCGUCCUUUGAAUUCUAUAAGCAAUUAAAGGAUGUAUCAAUUUUUUUACAUAUGCUAAGCUUUGGCUUCUUUACACCAUUCGUUGCUAUUCUGUUGUGAUUUUUCAGCAGAAGUCUCUUCUACUUGGUCUAAAAUAAACAUUUUAUGUUCCCCUUUCUCUUCAUUUUAGAUAUGUAAGUGGCUCAUAUGAUUCUGGCAAUGUCUUCCUCUUAUUAAAUAAAGAAAUUUCAAAGCACGAAUCUUUGAAAAUAGUAUAGAGGGUUCAUCGUUGAGGCUUUUCUAUCUUGCACUUUCAGUUUUUGGUAACUCCUCCAAAAUUGGUAAAUUUUCCUUUUCAGUUUUGGUAAAUUUGCAAUUUUAGUAUUUUUAACUUUCCCUACACUUCAUAUUUUCAAAAUUGUAUUUGUCACUUAUUACAGAUUACAGGUUUGUUUAUAAAUCUUGAUAAAUACAAUAUUUUAUUUGCUUUGUGUUGUACCCUUUUAAGUUUUUGAUCUCAUUUGUACCUAUUUUUGUUUGAAUGAUGGGUUGCUUUGUUCAAAUCUGGUGCCAAAAGAGGCCUAAUUAGAAAUUCUAACAAAUUCUAUUAUUAUGUUGUCAUUAAAAACUUUUUGUUUGUGCUGAAAUCACAUUAAUUUGAGCCCUUUGUCAGUGGUGUAUUAGUUGAGUGUGCAACUACUGUAAGUUGAUACCUCUGAUAUUCUCCAACCAUAUUAGCAGUUUCAGUUUAAAAUUUUUGUGAAAAAUAUCUACAUUUAUUAUGUGUGGUGAACAUUUGAUUGAAAUUUAAGGCUUUGUUUUAUAACAGCUUUUGAUUAAUGAUAUAAUUGAGACCAUGUCAUGUAAAAUGUGAUAUUUCUCUUUUGCCAAAUGCACCUGCUGCCAAGCUAACACUGAGCAGUUUGAUUCUUCGGAGAAAGCAUAAGCUAGAGUCAAAUUGAAUAGUGCUUUUGCUUUCAAUAGAGUGGAAAGAAAUGAGAUCCAAGAAGGUGGAAGGAAGUCCUCCACAAGCUAUGGAAUUGAAGAAAUGGGUGUAUUGAUUCAGUACAAGCUGAUGCUCAUGAGAGUUCAAAUUCACUCACUGUUUAUAAGUAAUUUAAGGGGUGGCCUUUAUGUUUCCAUGUCCCUCUAUAAAUGCCUAUCUAGGCAUAUUAGUUUUUGCCUUUCAGACUGAACAUCACAGAUCACUACCAACUUGGAGUAACUUCGAAUUUAUAGAGCCCUUUGAAUGUUUUUGCUGCAUAAAUAUGCUAAUAUUAUUUUUCAAAAAAAAAGAAUUAGUUUUCAUGAAAUUGACUUAAAUAAUUUGGAUUUGGACUUUUGAGUUUGAUAUUUUGUAUGUAUGAAUGACUUUAUUUAUUUAUAUGUUAUUAGUUUAUUGUUCUAAUGAUACUAUAAGUAGUAAUAUUUUCUCUUCUGGGGUAUAUGCAGAUACUUCCUUUUUGCAGAAGGAAAUGUAUGACUUCAAGUUUGGCUUAACCGAAAUAUAGCUUAUAAAUACACCUUCUAGAAAGGAUUUACAUAAGCUUUUCUCAUAUGUGUUUUUCUUCAGAUCUCUAUGGUGCUCUCUCUUCACAAGGCUUCUCCGAAGGUAAAGUUGAGGGUCAUAGUUUUGGUGACCAAAACAUCAAUUCAAAUUAUCCAAGGUUAGUUUAUUCACUUGAUUCAUGUGGCUUAUAAAUUCAAGAUUCAAUGUGUUUACUUUUGAUAAUAUCAAAUGGUGUGCAACCAAGAGAAAUGAAAGUGUUGGUGUUGUAAAAUUUCAUCACAUUUAUAUUGAGAAAUUAAUACGUGUUGUUGACAUCUUUGCCUCUUUUUUCAUGAGUUAUAACGUUCUAUAUACUUUGCGGUCAGUAUGUUUGAUGUUAUCUUGGUUUACAUUUGGUUUUAUUAUCCAUGUAAUUGAUUCUUUCAUAUAUUAUUGUCCUCAUCCAACUUAUCGAAAUUGUGAUUGAUGAAGAAAAAGCUGAAAUCUGAAAAGUUUGAUUCCUAUACUUUUGGUGGAACUACAAUAAAGCUCCUGAUGAUUGCAUGAUCUUCUUGAUCCUUUUAAGUUAAUAGAACUAUAGAGGUCAGUUUAGGAUCCAAGUAUCUACUUCUACUACACUUUAAAAGAGACUCAAGAAAUCACUAUUCCUAAAAGAACUUUCAAUCUUGGCCGUCCAUUUGAUUCUCUCUCCAUGCGAUCUAUUUAAUCAUGGCCCUUCCUUUGUGAGACUUUUUUCAUCUUUAUUCCACUCAAGCUGCUCUAAUUUUCUGAUAUACAGAACGUCGUGAUAGAGUGUGUUCACCAUGGUUUGAUUUCGUGGGUAUAUGUCACCCCUGCAGCCCCUGUCCCUGUAGCGUGUUUCUGGAUGAGGCAAAGAGUGUGUCCAUAGCCAUCGUCAUUCUUGCAGACAGCCUGUGUCCUGCAGUAGUUGUUUGGGUUAGGUGUAGUUGUAGAAGGAAGGAUCAUUGUAAGUUUGGUUGAAGUAGGAAGUCGAAAUUUUAGGUUUUCCUGUUGAACACGAUUUAGGGAAAAUUUCGUCACCCUGACCUAAGUUUCUUCAAGUCAUUGUCAGAUAGGUUGUAAUUUGAAGGAGGAGAAUAGAACUGUUGAUGAAGGAUUUUGAUAUGUGCAUAAUGUGCUAUCUGAAGGAGGAUGGUAGAUGUGUAUCAGAAGCCAUGUCAGGUCAGUAACAGAGGUUUGGUAUGCAUAGCUGUGAAGCAGGUUUACUGCUGAAACUCAAUUCAAUUUAAUGUAAUUUAAUUUAUUUUUUGAAAUGCUCAAAUGUUUCUCACUUGCACUUGUCUAUAAAUACUGCUCUCUUCUGUUCUUCUUGGUGUUCUUGCUCAAUGCAAUUUUCUUUUGCUUAUCUCCCCUUUCGUAUAGAGAAUUGUUGAUUGUUGUUACUUAUGGCUUUUACUGUUGAUCUUUUCCAUCCCCUUUGUAGCUUAUGCCCAAGCAAAGAUGUUUCCUGUUGUUGAUCCUGGCAAACCAUAUGCUAUUAAUCUUGUCUUGAUCGUUCAUAGGUUAUUUCUUUUCUUGAAGAAGUGCUAUGUGCUUGCUUCCAGGUAGGUUUUUUCUAUAUGUCUUCUUUGGUUAUAUUGCUUUCAUUGGUUUUAAAGGGUGAUCUUGAGGUUUUCUGUCCAGUUUUGGAAGUUGUGGUCUCAAAAAUUAUUGUAUAGUAAAACCUGAUAUUUGAAAUUGAAAAAAAUUUCAAAAUAGGUUAUUAUGUUUGUUUUCAUAAGUUGAUUAUAGUAUUUUGCUUCCUAUUCAGGUUAUUGGUUAGUGAAUUUGCUUUAUUGCAGUAAAAGGAUAAAGCAUAGCAUCUUAUCAUAAUUUUAAGGCUGCCACUGCACAAAAAAUUGCAAUUUCUUUGAAAACACUCAUCAAAUAUGUUUUCAUGACAUACCUGUAUACUAAUUGGAAUCACGUGCUUAGGCAAAUCUGCAGUUGAAGCAAUAUAACUAUAUAUUUUCAUUAGUUUGUCACCCCUGGAUCUGGUCUGUCCUUUGGAUGUGAGUAUUGCCAAGCCUUUGUUGAUAUAGUAUAAUGAUUUAUUAAUUUAUAUUGGAUUAGUUUGAUUACCUGAUUCCUUCCUCAAUUAUUUUUUCCUUGAUGCAUUCUGUUGUUGAUGUUGAUUACCUGCUGGAGGUUGAGGAAAAAAUUAUUGGAAAAGAAUUGUUGUUCAAAGUUUCUAAGAUUCCUGGUAUUACAAUUAAGGGGUUUCCUUGCUAUGAGGUUCUUCGAAUUUGUGCUGAUACUGAGAUCAUUUCACUUUUCUUUUCUGAGGCAGCGAGUACUACAUCGAUUAUGAUGGUGAGGGAGAACAUGCUGCCCAUGUUGCUGGAUAUGGAAAAAGUAUCAAUGAAGGUGCUCUUACAAAUUUGGUGAAAAGAAAAUUGAAAGUGUCUGGUAGUGAGUUUUAUGAAGAUGCAGAUAGCAAGCUAAGAAAGGUUGAAACAAAGGUGGUGGAGAAGGUAGAAAUCACUGGUCAUGACUUUGCCAAUGCUGAUGAUGGAUUGUUAGGUGAAAUUAAUCGCUUGAAGGAAAUUAAGAUAGCUGAUGGGGGGUCUGACUGUGAGGGUCGUUUUGUACCAGUUGCUGAGUUCAAGGUCCAGGAAAAACAUGAAAUUUCAACCUGCUGGCUUCUAGAGGUUCAUUACUGGAUGGUGGAUAUUGCUUACUCUGAAUGAAGAAUUCAAUGUACCUGGGUGUUAUGUGUUAGCAUUAUGUAUGUCCCUUUUUUGUAAAUCUAUGGGGCCAUUGAACUAAGUAUUGUAUUUAAUUAAGUGUGAUGCUACAUGUCCUAUGUUAGAACUGCAUGUAGUUUGGUGAACGUGAUAUGCAUUUGCUAUUUUGUAACCUCUUGAGAACUGUGAUGUGCAGAAUUGUAGUUUAAGUAACCCUAUUAUCAAUAUAAGUUUGUGUUUGUAUUCA